rnacentral:rRNA from 1 species
AGCAGCCGCGGUAAUUCCAGCUCCAAUAGCGUAUAUUAAAGUUGUUGCAGUUAAAAAGCUCGUAGUUGAAUUUCGGGACCAUCAUGUUGGUCGUGCCUCGGUACGUACUGGCAUUGUUGGUUUCUCCCUUCUGACGAACCAUGAUGUCAUUUAUUUGGUGUCGUGGGAAACCAGGACUGUUACUUUGAAAAAUUGAGUGUUUAAAGCAGGCUCACGCUUGAAUACAUUAGCAUGGAAUAAUGAAAUAGGACGUUUGAUUCUAUUUUGUUGGUUUCUAGGAUCGACGUAAUGAUUAAUAGGGAUAGGUUGGGGCAUUAGUAUUCAAUUGUCAGAGGUGAAAUUCUUGGAUUUA